UUUGUACUCCCUCCAUCCCAAAUUUCUUGUCUUAAUGUUGUCUAAAUACGGAUGUAUCUAGUUACAUUUUAUUGUUAGAUACAUCCGUAUCUAAACAAAUGUAAGACAAGAAUUUUGGGACGGAGGGAAUACUAC
rnacentral:pre_miRNA from 1 species